rnacentral:rRNA from 1 species
GACGGACGCUCGCGGCGUGCCUAAUACACGCAAGUCGAGCGGCCAGAAGGGAGCUUAGCUCCCGGAUGUCUAGCGGCGGAGCGGGUGAGUAACACCUGGGGGACCUGCCUGUAAGACUGGGAUAACUCCGGGAAACCGGAGCUAAUACCGGAUAGUUCCUUGAACCGCAUGGUUCAAGGAUGAAAGACGGUUUCGGCUGUCACUUACAGAUGGACCCGCGGCGCAUUAGCUAGUUGGUGGGGUAAUGGCUCACCAAGGCUGGUGAGCUGUACACUUGACUGUGUAGUGCAUCAUUGUGGAACUGAAACCCCGCUCUUGUUCUUGUGUGACGCAGCAUUUAGCUUAUUUUUCCCAAAUGACGAAAGUCUGACGGAGCAACGCCGCGUGAGUGAUGAAGGUUUUCGGAUCGUAAAGCUCUGUUGUUAGGGAAGAACAAGUCGCGAGAGUAACUGCUCGCACCUUGACGGAACAUAACCAUAUAGCCUAGGGCUAUCUACGUGACGAGCAGACGUGGUAAUAUUGUAGGUCGCUAGUGUUGAUCUAGAAAUUAUUGGGCGUAAAGGCGCUCGCAGGCGGUUUCUUACAGUCUGAUGUGAAAGCCCCCCGGCUCAACCGCGAGGGUCAUGUGAAUACUGGGAUAACUUGAGUGCAGUAGAGGAGAGUGCGAAUUCCACGUGUAGCGGUGAAAUGCGUAGAGAUGUGGAGGAACACCCAGUGGCGAAGGCGACUCUCUGGUCUGUAACUGACGCUGAGGAGCGAAAGCGUGGGGAGCGAACAGGAUUAGAUACCCUGGUAGUCCACUCUGUAAGCAUUUCAUGCUAAGUGUUGGGGUUUCUCCGCCCCUUAGUGCUGCAGCUAACGCAUUAAGCACUCCGCCUGGGGAGUACGGUCGCAAGACUGAAACUCAAAGGAAUUGACGGGGGCCCGCACCCCCCGGUGGCCCAUGUGGUUUAAUUCGAAGCAACGAGAAGAACCUUACCAGGUCUUGACAUCCUCUGACAACCCUAGAGAUAGGGCUUUCCCUUCGGGGACAGAGUGACAGGUGGUGCAUGGUUGUUGUCAGCUCGUGUCGUGAGAUGUUGGGUUAAGUCCCGCAACGAGCGCAACCCUUGAUCUUAGUUGCCAGCAUUCAGUUGGGCACUCUAAGGUGACUGCCGGUGACAAACCGGAGGAAGGUGGGGAUGACGUCAAAUCAUCAUGCCCCUUAUGACCUGGGCUACACACGUGCUACAAUGGACAGAACAAAGGGCUGCAAGACCGCAAGGUUUAGCCAAUCCCAUAAAUCUGUUCUCAGUUCGGAUCGCAGUCUGCAACUCGACUGCGUGAAGCUGGAAUCGCUAGUAAUCGCGGAUCAGCAUGCCGGGGUGAAUACGUUCCCGGGCCUUGUACACACCGCCCGUCACACCACGAGAGUUUGCAACACCCGAAGUCGGUGAGGUAACCUUUAUGGAGCCAGCCGCUGAAGGUGGGGCAGAUGAUUGGGGU